rnacentral:rRNA from 1 species
GACGAACGCUGGCGGCGUGCCUAAUACAUGCAAGUAGAACGCUGAAGGAGGAGCUUGCUUCUCUGGAUGAGUUGCGAACGGGUGAGUAACGCGUAGGUAACCUGCCUGGUAGCGGGGGAUAACUAUUGGAAACGAUAGCUAAUACCGCAUAAGAGUAGAUGUUGCAUGACAUUUGCUUAAAAGGUGCAAUUGCAUCACUACCAGAUGGACCUGCGUUGUAUUAGCUAGUUGGUGGGGUAACGGCUUACCAAGGCGACGAUACAUAGCCGACCUGAGAGGGUGAUCGGCCACACUGGGACUGAGACACGGCCCAGACUCCUACGGGAGGCAGCAGUAGGGAAUCUUCGGCAAUGGACGGAAGUCUGACCGAGCAACGCCGCGUGAGUGAAGAAGGUUUUCGGAUCGCAAAGCUCUGUUGUAAGAGAAGAACGAGUGUGAGAGUGGAAAGUUCACACUGUGACGGUAUCUUACCAGAAAGGGACGGCUAACUACGUG